UUAUUGGAGAGUUUGAUCCUGGCUCAGGAUGAACGCUGGCGGCGUGCCUAAUACAUGCAAGUCGAGCGAAUGAAUUAAGAGCUUGCUCUUAUGAAGUUAGCGGCGGACGGGUGAGUAACACGUGGGUAACCUGCCCAUAAGACUGGGAUAACUCCGGGAAACCGGGGCUAAUACCGGAUAA
rnacentral:rRNA from 1 species